AUUAAUAAUCAAGGUCGCGAACCUUAAAAAUUAAC
rfam:Tenacibaculum holothuriorum strain S2-2 contig16, whole genome shotgun sequence.